rnacentral:lncRNA from 1 species
GCAACAUCUGUCUCCCUCACCAUUUGCCAGCACCACAGCCCAUGGCCACAGCCUGGAGGCAUUCACCUCGAAUUUCACCAUCAAUAACCUGAUCUACACUGCAGAAAUGGAGCACCCAGACUCCAGUGCAUUCACUACCACUGACAGGAUCCUACGGCAUCUGCUUGGCCACUUAUUCCAGAACAGCAGCAUUGGCCCCUCCUAUUCUGGAUGCAAGCUGAUGUUCCCGAGG